GAUAGCCAUAGAUCACAAAAGGAUUGAGAGUUGGUUCAGUUACAAGGCGAACAUCAUGAAUAUUCGUGUCAUAAAUUCCUCCCCAAAACAUGGCUUUACCUACCAGCAAUAAAGCUGCUACGCCUAAAAACAAGAGGUGGUGUCCUAAGAUUAAACCCAGUUGUUUAGGAUCAUCCCA
rnacentral:antisense_RNA from 15 species